GCAACAUAUCCAUGAAAUAUAGCUGACUCCAGCUUCUUUGGGUUUUAAGGCUCUAUUGAGUUUAGUUGAGCUGGUUACAGAACUUCCAUUUAUUUGUGGUAUUUUAUAGCCUCUGCUAGUGCUACUUUUUGUCCCAUUUGGCAGACUAUAAUGUAAUCAAAUUUUAUAUUAAAUCUCAACAGAAAUUUUAAUUGCAUUAUGGUCUACCAAACAUAGAAGGCUUAUGAUAGUGUUCAAAGAGAUGUCUUAUAGAGAAUGUUAGAACAAAAGAGGGCAUUUAUUAGGUACAUACAAGCGUUGAAUGAUAUGUAUGAAUGAGGAACUACUAUUGUGAGUACAGUGGGAGGGGACACAAUAGAUUUUCCUAUCUCAGUUGGAUUACACCAAGGUUCAGCUGUAACCCCUUACAUUUUUACAUUAAUUCUAGAUGAAUGG
rnacentral:misc_RNA from 1 species